UACCUGGUUGAUCCUGCCAGUAGUCAUAUGCUUGUCUCAAAGAUUAAGCCAUGCAUGUCUAAGUACAUGCCAAAACAAGGCGAAACCGCGAAUGGCUCAUUAAAUCAGUUAUGGUUCCUUAGAUUGUUUCUUCCUACUUGGAUAACUGGUCGGUGCUGACGCAAUGUGAUUCCUGCCCAGUGCUGUGAAUGUCAACGUGAAGAGAUUCAUGAAAGCGCGGGUAAACGGCGGGAGUAACUAUGACUCUCUUGUUUUUUUAACUAUGACUCUCUUUUGGGACACAAAGUCGGUUGGGUUGUAUCCCGCCGUCAAGUGCCAACUCCACGUCCCCGUCGUGUGUCCUGGGGGCGCAGGUCUUAUUAUUCCUGCGUCUGCUAACGGAGCUCUGGCUAUCAUUGGGAAAUGGGGUUGCCGACCCCCUUCCCUGUAAUUACUUGGUGUGAAAAGCAAAAAGAAUAAAGAUGAACGGGGCAGUCAAGAGCUUGUCCCUCAAAGUACAGACGUGCGCACUGGUGGCCCUGAU
rnacentral:ncRNA from 1 species